rnacentral:rRNA from 1 species
GACGAACGCUGGCGGCGUGCUUAACACAUGCAAGUCGAACGGAAAGGCCCUGCUUGCAGGGUACUCGCGUGGCGAACGGGUGAGUAACACGUGGGUGAUCUGCCCUGCACUUCGGGAUAAGCCUGGUAAACUGGGUCUAAUACCGGAUAGGAGCCAUUUUUAGUGUGAUGGUUGGAAAGUUUUUUCGGUGUAGGAUGAGCUCGCGGCCUAUCAGCUUGUUGGUGGGGUAAUGGCCUACCAAGGCGGCGACGGGUAGCCGGACUGAGAGGGUGGACGGCCACAUUGGGACUGAGAGACGGCCCAGACUCCUACGGGAGGGAGCAGUGGGGAAGAUUGCACAAUGGGCGCAAGCCUGAUGCAGCGACGCCGCGGGGGGGAUGACGGCCUUCGGGUUGUAAACUCCUUUCGCUAGGGACGAAGCUUUUUGUGACGGUACCUAGAUAAGAAGCACCGGCUAACUACGUG